rnacentral:rRNA from 1 species
GACGAACGCUGGCGGCGUGCUUAACACAUGCAAGUCGAACGGAAAGGCCCUGCUUUUGUGGGGUGCUCGAGUGGCGAACGGGUGAGUAACACGUGAGUAACCUGCCCUUGACUUUGGGAUAACUUCAGGAAACUGGGGCUAAUACCGGAUAGGAGCUCCUGCUGCAUGGUGGGGGUUGGAAAGUUUCGGCGGUUGGGGAUGGACUCGCGGCUUAUCAGCUUGUUGGUGGGGUAGUGGCUUACCAAGGCUGUGACGGGUAGCCGGCCUGAGAGGGUGACCGGCCACAUUGGGACUGAGAUACGGCCCAGACUCCUACGGGAGGCAGCAGUGGGGAAUCUUGCACAAUGGGCGGAAGCCUGAUGCAGCAACGCCGCGUGCGGGAUGACGGCCUUCGGGUUGUAAACCGCUUUCGCCUGUGACGAAGCGUGAGUGACGGUAAUGGGUAAAGAAGCACCGGCUAACUACGUG